rnacentral:rRNA from 1 species
GACGAACGCUGGCGGCGUGCUUAACACAUGCAAGUCGAACGGUAAGGCCCUUCGGGGUACACGAGUGGCGAACGGGUGAGUAACACGUGGGUGAUCUGCCCUGCACUUCGGGAUAAGCCUGGGAAACUGGGUCUAAUACCGGAUAGGACCACUGCCUGCAUGGGUGGUGGUGGAAAGCUUUUGCGGUGUGGGAUGGGCCCGCGGCCUAUCAGCUUGUUGGUGGGGUGAUGGCCUACCAAGGCGACGACGGGUAGCCGGCCUGAGAGGGUGACCGGCCACACUGGGACGGAGAGACGGCCCAGAGUGCUCCGGGAGGCAGCAGUGGGGAAUAUUGCACAAUGGGCGCAAGCCUGAUGCAGCGACGCCGCGUGAGGGAUGACGGCCUUCGGGUUGUAAACCUCUUUCAGCACCGACGAAGCGCAAGUGACGGUAGGUGCAGAAGAAGGACCGGCCAACUACGUGCCAGCCGCCGCCGUAA